CUUGACACUGAACAUUGAGCCUUGAUGUGUAGGAUAGGUGGGAGGCUUUGAAGUGUGGACGCCAGUCUGCAUGGAGCCGACCUUGAAAUACCACCCUUUAAUGUUUGAUGUUCUAACGUGGACCCGUGAUCCGGGUUGCGGACAGUGUCUGGUGGGUAGUUUGACUGGGGCGGUCUCCUCCUAAAGAGUAACGGAGGAGCACGAAGGUUGGCUAAUCCUGGUCGGACAUCAGGAGGUUAGUGCUAUG
rnacentral:rRNA from 1 species